rnacentral:rRNA from 1 species
UACGUAGGGGGCAAGCGUUGUCCGGAUUUAUUGGGCGUAAAGCGCGUGUAGGCGGCCAGGUAGGUCGGUUGUGAAAAUUGGAGGCUCAACCUCCAGACGUCGAUCGAAACCAUCUGGCUAGAGUCCGGAAGAGGAGAAUGGAAUUCCCGGUGUAGCGGUGAAAUGCGUAGAUAUCGGGAGGAACAUCAGUGGCGAAGGCGGCCUUCUGGUCCAGUACUGACACUCAAGUGCGAAAGCGUGGGGAGCAAACAGG